GUCCUUAGGACGUAAAUUUUACCGGAAGGUUGACUAAUAGCAGAAACAGAUUUGCUGCUGAUUGGUUGUUGAUUUUGAAUAGCAAUUAGAAGGGAUUCUUGAUGCUGGACUUUUUGUUCCAGUUGAACCACCUUUGACUCCAAAUUAUUCUUGAGUUUCACCUUUCACAAAAUCAGAGCUGGUUCAGUUGUUCUUUGACCGAGAGGCCUGCGGUCAAACAUGUCGAGCAAAUGAAAAGUAA